GCAUGCGAUCAUACCAGCAAAGCACCGAUCCAUCAGAACUCGCAGUUAAGCGUGCUUUGGCGAGAGUAGUACUAGGAUGGGUGACCCCUGGGAAUCCUCGUGUUGCAUCCU
rnacentral:rRNA from 1 species